UUUGCAUUGAAAAUCGGAGUCAGGCAGACUUAUCUCUCUAAACAUUCCUACAAAUUGUUCCAAUAACACAAAAUUCUACAUUUCACAUGGACAGUUGAUUCCAGGCAAGCAGCCUCAUAAGAGCAGCAACUCCUGCAACAUGAAAUUCAGUACAUCACACAGCAAAUAAGUUAAGUUAUUUUCUCUAGUUCUCACAACCCAGAGCAUUUCGCUACUGAAAUGAAGCUGAUUUGGCUUAUGGGAAAGUCGAACACAGCAUACAAAUACAGUUUCUAAACAUGAAACAAUAAAUCAGCCUAGCCUGCGCAGAAUAAAUGCCUUGAAGCAAACGACACCAUGAAACCAGAAGGCAACUCAUUUUAUAAGCCUCAUCCUCUGGUGACCUGCCUCCCAAUUUUGGAGCACAUCAUCUCAGCAUCAGUUAUGAUUGUUUCCUUCAAAGUAGCCUCUUGCGUUUAGCUAUUUGCCAUUGCUUCAAUAAAAAUGAGACUCCCUCUUUCAAGGCAGCCUUCUUCCCUUCUUUAUAAUUCCACAGCUCUGAGAUUAUAUACCUUCCACUCGGGUUGUAUUCAUUUAUCUCCAUUAAAGCAUCAGUCACAGCCUUGUAAACUUCAUCACCCAUCUCAUCUCUCAAAUCUUUCAAUUUUUCAUCCUCAUUGUCAAUUACUUCCUUAUGUUUUUCUUCAACUGUGACAACUUUAAAAGGAUGCCAGUCAGGAUCUUUAAGAUAUUCCACCCACAAUGAGCAAAGUUCGGAAGCUCUGACUUCUGCUUCAUCUUCAGUAUACUUUCUCUUCAUUACUUCAAGGAAUGGUUUACUCUCUAGUUCUCCCAUCCUCUUAACGCCAAUAUGAGCACGACUUGAUACUUCUUUCAGGCCAUUAAUUAAUUCCUUCCGAGCAUCCUGCAGUUCAUCAUUGCUCUUUCGCUCCUUUACAAUAAGAGCCUGGUUCAGAGUUUCUAAUUCAUCAAGGUCUCCUUCCUUUUCUCUCAGAUUCUGAAUUAUUAAUUCCAUCCUUUUCAGAACUUCUGCAUCACCAUCAUCUCCCAUAUGCUUCAUCACAUUAUAUGAGCCUCUAAGUCUCUCGAUUUCCAGUUCCAGAGCUUGUUUGGCAUCCAGCUUUUUUUCCAGUAGAAUGAUUCUGUUGUGCAGUUCCUCUUUUUGCCUCUUCUGAUCUUCAGCCAAUUUCAAUACAUUCUCAUCAGCCUUCUGUUGCUCCAAAGAAGCCAACUGAAGUGAGCUAUUUCUGAUUGCAUUCUUUUCAAUCUCUUCAGAAAGCUGCCUUCUAUCACUUUCAUUCUUGGCCUCACGCCUUUCCAAUUCUGACCCACGCAUUUCAAGCUCUUUUUUCUGAGAUUCCAGUUGCAACUUAAGCUUUUCAUGUUCAUUAAAUAUCUUCUGAAAGUGCUCCCUUGCACUCAUUUGAAUUUUUUUAAUCUCUUCAUUAUAGGCAUGAAGAAGCCUAUCUUUCUCUUCCAUCAACUUGUUGAGGGAGAUUGAAGUCUCGCUACACUUUUGCUCCAUCUCUUUUAAGUGUUUAUUCUUAGUUUCAAUAAUGUUAUUGAGAUUGGAUAUUAGUUUGUCCUGUUUUCUUGCUUCUUCCUCCAUGAUUUCAGAAAUUGUUUUAAGGUCUCCAAUCUUCCGUAGGUGUUCUCCAAUUAUAUUAUCUGCAUUAUAAUCAUCAGCACGUGCAACCCAACAAUGGACACCAGAUUUUUCUCCACUAUUAGUAAACCAUUCUUUUUUCCCAUGAUGAUCAGCUUCAUAUGCCUUCUCAAAUGAAAGGGCAUUAUGUAAACCAGGCCAAUCUUUGUGGAAUUCCACAACAGCAGUCCCUGAAUGACCUCGGUAAUUCCAUAGCGGAUGAACUCUCGUGGGGUUAAAGCCUCUACUUAUCAACUCAUCCCUAAACUUGGAUCCACUAGCUCCUACAUAUCGUCCGUCCUCUGCCCUUGUAGUUGGAAUAUUGACCACAAUGCCUGUCCAAGGCCACACAAGUUUCUCGUUAUGGUCACAACCACUGAAAGGAUCAGUGUCAGCCUUUGGUUUUGAUGGGCUGCCUACAUCUGCAAGAUCCUUCUCCAAGUACUUAACUAAUGCCAGGUGAUUUGCCUUGUCCUUAGCAGAUCUUUUCUUUGAUGGACUCUUGCCCACCCCAGAAGCAUGCUGGAGGAGAUCCUUGUAUAAGUAAUCUCGCUUUCUCUUCUUGGGGCAGUAAGGACAAGUAAAAGUCUCAUCUGAAAUUUUGACAGGGUGGUUUCCAUUCUUCAGUUCUUCAUAAGAUUGAGCUUCAUACUCAUCCAUUUCAGAUUCACUCAUAUCUGUGUCCUCAUCCGAACUGUGAUCUAUUGAACUUCCCAUUUAAAUUUCGUUAAGGAGUACUGAAAAUUGAAAGAAACAUUAAAAUUAAGUACAAUAUUCUGCAUAUGAUAUUAACAGACUACUACUAUUGAUAGGCAAGCUCUUUGCAAUCAGAUUCCAAAAGGAGCAAGAGGAAGGCAUUCAAGCCUGAAUCAUGUAUCAAACUACAAAAAUAAAGCACAAAACUGUCACCCUAAGAAAGAAACCUAACAAUGAGAUAUGUGAGGCAAACAAAAUAAUAUGGGAAGCGGUAAAUCCAGCAAAAUAAAGCUGCUAAAACAAAAAAAUGGUAUAGCACCUGUGGAUAAAUUGAUCUUUAAAGGUCUCUAGCUGUUUUUGGGAAAAUAUAGAGCAGAACAUGCACUUGAAGGUUUCUAAGUGAUUAGAAAAACAGAAAGAAAAUAACACAUUGCAGAAAGUAUCCUUUUGGUCUAAUUCACAUUAUUUGUCACUCUCUAGAACUCAAAUUCAGGAUCCACGAGAUAAGGGCAGUCAAUUCAUUAAGCAACAAAAAGUUCAUAAGGGGAUGAAACAAAUCAGGCUGGAGUCAGUUGACACGCAGAAGUUCAAAACCCAAAUAUAAAAAAGUAGUGAAGAAUACAAGAAAAGAAUGCACAAUUCAAAAUGAAAUGGCCCUGGCAUAUUCAGUGGUCAGUAAGAACCACAAAAUGAAACAUUUAUGCUGAAUGCUUCAAUGAAAAUAUGCAUGAAAAGUAGCAAUAAUUCCAUAUCAAUUCAGAAAAUGGAAUUGUAAACAAUUGAAUCCCCAACAAAUUACUAAAGCUUCAAGGUCCCUGUGCUUUGCCCAGGAAAACUUAGAACAUUCUCCAUUCUUUUCCUAUAUUGAGCUCUUACAUAUCAUACACUGAAGAGACGGCAAAAAUGUAAUACAGAAAUGAGUCAAACCGAGCAUUUAAUUGUCCCAUUCCCGAGAAACAAACAGAAAAUAGGUAAAAUAUCAGUUUAUCUCCGCGAUAACUUCCCCAAGAACCAAACAGAAUCCAAAACAAAGAUAAGGAAAAAAAUUUUUUUACGAGACCAGAACUUCUAAUACAUAUGAUAAUCAAAAAAACAUAACCAUGAUUAGCCAAAUUUCAAACAAAAAUGAUACAUGCAGAUCAGGGAAAAGAAAGGCCACAAAACAAAGAAAAACAUGAGAUAAUACAUUAU
rnacentral:misc_RNA from 1 species